rnacentral:rRNA from 1 species
CGUGUAGGCGGCCCUGCAAGUCGGGUGUGAAAUCCCAUGGCUCAACCAUGGAAGUGCACUCGAAACUGCAGGGCUAGAGUCCUGGAGAGGAAGGUGGAAUGCUUGGUGUAGAGGUGAAAUUCGUAGAUAUCAAGCGGAACACCGGUGGCGAAGGCGGCCUUCUGGACAGUGACUGACGCUGAGACGCGAAAGCGUGGGGAGCAAACA